rnacentral:rRNA from 1 species
CGGGGUUAUUGUAGAAGCUUGCUUCUAAAUAACCUAGCGGCGGACGGGUGAGUAACACGUAGGCAACCUGCCCACAAGACAGGGAUAACUACCGGAAACGGAAGCUAAUACCCGAUACAUCCUUUUCCUGCAUGGGCGAAGGAGGAAAGACGGAGCAAUCUGUCACUUGUGGAUGGGCCUGCGGCGCAUUAGCUAGUUGGUGGGGUAAAGGCCUACCAAGGCGACGAUGCGUAGCCGACCUGAGAGGGUGAUCGGCCACACUGGGACUGAGACACGGCCCAGACUCCUACGGGAGGCAGCAGUAGGGAAUCUUCCGCAAUGGGCGAAAGCCUGACGGAGCAACGCCGCGUGAGUGAUGAAGGUUUUCGGAUCGUAAAGCUCUGUUGCCAGGGAAGAACGUCUUGUAGAGUAACUGCUACAAGAGUGACGGUACCUGAGAAGAAAGCCCCGGCUAACUACGUGCCAGCAGCCGCGGUAAUACGUAGGGGGCAAGCGUUGUCCGGAAUUAUUGGGCGUAAAGCGCGCGCAGGCGGCUCUUUAAGUCUGGUGUUUAAUCCCGAGGCUCAACUU